rnacentral:rRNA from 1 species
AUUGAACGCUGGCGGCAUGCCUUACACAUGCAAGUCGAACGGUAACAGGUCUUCGGACGCUGACGAGUGGCGAACGGGUGAGUAAUGCAUCGGAACGUGCCCAGUCGUGGGGGAUAACUGCUCGAAAGAGCAGCUAAUACCGCAUACGACCUGAGGGUGAAAGCGGGGGACCGUAAGGCCUCGCGCGAUUGGAGCGGCCGAUGUCAGAUUAGCUAGUUGGUGGGGUAAAGGCCUACCAAGGCAACGAUCUGUAGUUGGUCUGAGAGGACGACCAGCCACACGGGGAGGUAGACGCGCCCGGGCCCCCGAGGGGGGCCAGCGGUGGGGAUUUUGGGACAAGGGGCCCAAGCUGUACCCAGCAAUGCCGCGGGAAGAAAGAAGCCCUUCGUUUUGUAAGCUUUUUUUGUAGGGAAAAAAUUUUUCUGGCCAAAACCCCGGGGGGAAGGAGGGCACCGAAAAAAGAACCCCCGCCUAACUACGUC